AUUGAACGCUGGCGGCAUGCUUUACACAUGCAAGUCGAACGGCAGCGCGGGCUUCGGCCUGGCGGCGAGAGGCGAACGGGUGAGUAAUACAUCGGAACGUGCCCAGUAGUGGGGGAUAGCUCGGCGAAAGCCGGAUUAAUACCGCAUACGACCUGAGGGUGAAAGCGGGGGAUCUUCGGACCUCGCGCUAUUGGAGCGGCCGAUGGCAGAUUAGCUAGUUGGUGGGGUAAAGGCCUACCAAGGCGACGAUCUGUAGCUGGUCUGAGAGGACGACCAGCCACACUGGGACUGAGACACGGCCCAGACUCCUACGGGAGGCAGCAGUGGGGAAUUUUGGACAAUGGGCGAAAGCCUGAUCCAGCAAUGCCGCGUGUGUGAUGAAGGCCUUCGGGUUGUAAAGCACUUUUGGCGGGAACGAAAAGGACUGUGCCAAUACCACGG
rnacentral:rRNA from 1 species